CAAAGCAUGCACAAGACCAACAACUGCAUGUUUGCUAUAUACUUCCAAAUUCCAAAUUCCAAGUCUUUUUUUAUUUUUUAUUUUUAUUUUAUUGUUAUUAUUUACUGAUAGCCAUCCUCAUCUCCGUUUCAAAACAAGCCAAAGAAGACCAAACAGAGACUGCGAUGCCCCGUUGAUCAAGUUUCAUAUCUCUUCCAAGCUUUCCAACCACCUCCAUAUUUAUUAACAUCACAUUUUCUCACACUUUCUCGGCGAGCUUUCUACUUUCUAGUCGCCUCUUAGCUUUCUGCUUUUCGUUUUUCUCGCAAACCAAACAGAAAAUAAGCUUACAGAGAAAAAAAAAAAAAGAGGAGAUUAGAAAUGGCAUGCUUUGUGCCUUUCAACAGUAAAAAUUUAGACAUAAGCAUCCUUGUGUUCAAACCAACAAUUGUGUUGGUCGAUGACCUUCUUAAUGCUCUCAAGCAAUUCUCUUUGUGCACCGAGUCUCUUGGUUGUGUUCAAAGUUCCAUCUUGCAGAGCAUCCAUGGAAAUAUGUUCAUAUGGUUUGGAGCGUGGCUGAAGAGAUCAUGUGAAAACAAGAUUCAUUGACAGCAAGGCUUCUCUCAAUGUUAGCGAAUAUAUCAAACAUGGCUAUCUUAGUCGAUCACUCAUUCUUCGACGCGUAUGCUGGAGAAUCGAGAGACGGUUCUUCUGCAGCGAAAUUUCGAAGAGGUGACACGGUAUCACUAAGCACUGCCCUCAUCAACGGUGGUGACAUAAACAACAUCUCUUACGCAUGCUUAGCGUUGUUCAAGUCCGGUUUUCAAAGGAUGCAAGGCGCGACAGCCGGUGUUUGUUUGAAAUGCCAAACGGGGCAAAGAACUGCUUCUCUCUUCGUGUGGAAGUCUCUGCAAUAUUGCUACUCAUGGAUUCUAAAUUCCGACCAAAGAAAAGCAUUGUCGCCCUAUCUCGAAAGCGUCUCGAUUGAGAUUAAGUACGACAUUUUUCGAGUAGUCUAUGUCAGCGGCGACAGUGAUAUCGACUUGCAGGUCUUAUAUCCUCGUCAUCAGAUGUUAGAACAAGCUGGAGGCGAAAGCAAAGAAGAAGGGCAGCUCAUGCAAAGUACUUCCAUAAUUUAAUUACGACUGAACUGAAUUAAUAUAUCGUGAGUGUAUUAUCUGGCCGUCGAUCAUAUCCUUUUUUUUUUUUGUAAAUCUACAUAUUUAUAUAUAAAUAAUAUAUACACACGAUUGUUACGAACCCUUUUCUCUUUCACUUGCAAGGCAUGCAAUACAUAUAUUGAAGAUGGAUACCAUAACUAAUUUUCACAAGCACGAGCUUAUUAACACAGCUAUGCUAUCUGGAAGAACAAUAUUUGGCUUCUUAAUGCUCUCGCUCUUAGGUUAGGUCAAGUGGUGAGGAAAAGGUGGGGACAAUGAGUUAGGAUUAUGGUAAGUAUAGCGUUUGAUUCAUUCCAAUGUAAUAAAGAAAAAUAUUCAGCUUCUUACAUGUAAUUACAUGUCAUCGAUCAUACUACAAGCGUAGUACAAUUUUCACAUAUUUGAAGAGUCAUUUGACAUCUAUGUGAAAACUGUUUAAUUAGGGACCCAAUUAAAAGGCCUGGCCUGCCAAUUUAAAGGUAGUAACAAGUCUGGUUUGGUUCUGGUAUGCAUAUUACAUUGUGUUAAAUCUGCAUUUGAUGCUCUUAG